AUGUCCCUGCCGCACGGACCGACAGGCGCAGCCGCCAGUCAGGAGCCGAGGCGGACGCAGGCUCUGACCAAUGAGACGUGCGGAGGUGGCAAGGGGCGGGGCGUUGCGGCACUUGAGAGCCCGUCGGAGUUGGGCACUGAGCAGUACGCGGGGAUACCGCGCGUGGGAGCAGCCACCUACUGCGGCGUUGCGGCCAGGGAAGCCUCGCCAGUGUAUCUCAGUAAGGGAGAGCACCUGAGCACGACUAGUUAUUUUUCCAAUCAGUAAAAAUAUUCCCGCUGACUAGGGACUAAAGAAAGCCCUGCGGAUAGAGCCGGAGCUCCCCACCGCAGCUGUCCCGAGGGAGCCCAGACGCUUCUCAGGGGACGCUUGCUCCCCUCAUCACAUCUGGUUGGGGGAGGGUGAGGAUGCGUUAGGGAGUAGGCGUUGGCCUGUGUGGGCCAGCUAACAAAAGGAGGAUUUAGGCAUUGAAGAAAGUGACAAGUGAAGGCUCCCUCACCGGAACCACCACCAUCCCCAUUGCCCCGGUUCCUAAUCCUGUAGAGAUUUCUGCUGUGAUAGGCGUUUACUUUUCUGUUCAACGUGGAACUGGCUUAAGUCACUCCUCAAGAGAUACUUUUCUUUUGGUAGAUUCUUGAAGUCCUCAAGGAAAGAGGAUGUUACACGGAACUUGACACUAGCCUGGGGACUGUUACAGUGGCCAGCCCACGGCUUGUCAAAUCACACCUGGUACCGCCAACCCCACCUGCACCUAAGACUCAGUGUGCCUGGCAGCGAGUGCAUUUCAGACUUUGCAUUUCCACUUUAAGACUCAAAUAGCCCGCACCAGGAACGAUGAAUUGCCAGCGCCUUCUCUUAAGUGCCUCCAAUAAACAAGUACAGUAAUUACAGAAGAGUUUGAGGCUUUGGGCAACACUAAUCAACCAAGGGGAAAAAAAUUGCUUAAGGAAAUGUCUGGCAAAAUAAGAAGAGAACUGAAGAGAGAACAUGAGAUCCCAGUAAUGAGAUCUCAGUAAUGAGGUUCCAGUAAAGAUCUGUUGAAGGUGUGCAAUAAAAAGGUAUUUCAGGACCACAGAUAUUUCGGCCAUCAAGAUAAUUAAUAAUAAUAGGAUAACAAGCUGGAAGAUUUCAGAGAAUGGCUUUAAGAAAAAAGUAAAUUUACUUUAUGAAAUAUCAUUAUUAAAAACCUUAAUCAUCUUUAUGAUAGGCUGAUGAUGCUUCUCUUGUCAUCAAGACAGAAGAAAUAGAAUCUUUAGUAAAGGCAAAAAAAUUGUAUAAGCCAUGGCUCACAGAUGAAAUGAACUAAAAUGUGUCAUUAUUAUGAGUAAUCAGUGGUCAUAAUAAGAAAAGAAAAUCCAUUUGACAUUGACACCUAGAACAUUCUCCUUCAAUAAGUGUAGAUUUAAUAACAUGGUUUACAUUUCUCUUCCCACAUGUCCAUUCAUACCACUUGAUUCUGCAGUGAAUAAGAUGUACAAAAUUGUAAUACUGAAAAAAUCUUUAAUUUUCAAAAUAAAAGACAAAAUUUAAGACAAAAUGCACAAGACGAUUAUUCUAACAGAGCAAAUAAUACAAAUAUCAACAAUGUAAAAGUACUGGUGUAACCCAUGGUAUUUGGGAAAUGGAAGGAAGUGAAAGGAUAAAAUUUUUUAAUCUUACACAAUGGAAAAGUCAGGAGACACUUUCUAAAUUAAGUACAUCAAGAAAUAGGUUUAAGCAUUCCUUAAAGGAAUAAAGUAGCAAAUAGAAUGUAAUAUAAUUUAAUUUUAAAAAUUGCAAAGAGAAGACUAGGAGAAGAAAAAUGGAGAGUACUGGAACUGAGCUAAAUUCUCAUUGUUCAUUCUCAAAAUGUAGAGUCAAUUUGUUAAAAAAAGCCAGGAGUUGAACCGAACAGUGGCAGUGCAGUGUGUGCAUAUUAUUUUAAAUUAUGGAGUAACUAUCAGAAGAGCUAAAAACAGUUUGAUGUUGGCACCUUUUGGGUAGUGUUUUCAAGCUGUGGGAAUGAAAUCAAUUUAGUAGUCUGCCACCUACAUUAGGAGACAAGAAGAAAAAAGAAAUAUCAGGUUGCAUUGCACUAGUAAAGACAGUAAAGAUGAAUAAAAUGUGUGAAACGUUUUUCAGCUUUCUGCAUACCUGUAAAAUGUAUUUCCUACUUGAGUUUUGGUCAAGAAAGUACUGUAGGAAGUAGAAUUGGAAUGUAAGACAGUUGUUUGGCUGCAUUUUUAUGUUUUAUUUUUCUGCUCAUCUGUAAUGUUUGAGUUUUUAAACUCGUGUAUUAAUUUUAUCAUAAUAAUUUUAAAUGUUUCUGUUUUAAUACAUAAAAAUACAAAUUUAUAAACUUUUAUAACACAAAGUGAUAUACAUAUUUUCUAACAAAAGCAAAUAUUAAGCAAUUUUCUUGAGUAAAAAAAUGAUAAUUAAUCUUACCAUUGCUUAGCAAAAUAGAAAAAGUUAAACUUAAUAAUUUUUAAAGAUUACUUAAGGCUCACAAGAGGGAAGGCUAGGGCAGGGGCAAGAGUUUAAAACAUUAGAAUCCAGGCAGUGGAUUGAAUAGGAAGAAGACAAAGCAAAAGAAAUAAAAAAUCUUAGGUAUCAUUGUCACAAAGAAAACCAAUGCUAAGGAUGAUCUUGAAUACAACCUUGUUGAUUGUAUGUAGUAGUGUUCCAUCUGACAGUGAAAAUAUUUGGGCCAUCUGCGUAGUUACACAGAAAACCUCAUCUGCCUAAAAAGGAGAAAAUGAAGCAUAGAGGAGAGGUUAUUUUUUCAUUAAGUCAACAAAUGUUUGAGCCUUAGGCACUGUUCUAGGUACUAAGUAUAUAGCAAUGAGUAAAACAGUCUCUCCCCACAUAGAUAUAUAUUCUUGGGGGAAGGAGAACGAGGAACAAAUAUUUCAUAUAAUAUCAAGUAGUAUAAGUUCUAUUUAAAAAGCAGGGUUAGGGAUAGAAAGUUUGAAGAAGUUGGGUUCAGUGAAGUCCUCUCUGAGCAAAUAGUUGGAGCAGAGGUUUGAGCCAGUUGGGAAAGCAAGCCAAAAAUAUAUCUGGAAGAAAUGCUUUCAAGCUGCAGUGCUAGGACAUGCAAAAACUUUGAGUUGGGAGCAUUCUAGGGAAAUUCAGGAGACAUAGUGGCAAGAAGAAUGAAAAAAAAAAAAAAAAGUAAAUCCACACCUAAAUAAAGAUAAAGAAGAGAUCUUAAAAACGUCCAGGGAGAAAAGACAGAUUUCUCAAUUGUUACAUAAAUGGGUUAAAGAUGGCCCCUGUGUAUUAGCCCAAUGUUUACUUCUUUGCCACAGGCUAGGACCGGUAGAUCAAAGCCUGCCAGUGCCAGACUCAAAUUCUUGCAUGUCUAGUUGCUUUAAAUAUAGCUCAAAUGAGCAUAUUUUAGCCAUUAGAUCAUACCUGCUUGGCAUACCCCCGUGAAACUGCACCCAACAUCUUCUAGCCAUAGAUAAGACAAACUCUGUGGCUAUAAAAGACCAUAAACUGCUGCUGCCCUUCAGAGCUGUUGACCUAGAGAUUCCUCACCUUGCUGCUUAGUGACGUUACCUAGACAUGUUAAGAUCCCUCUUGUUAGGAAUUCCAUGAAGCCUGAAAAUGAAGCCAGCAUAGUGGAGAAUGAAGAGACAAGGUUUUGAUUACAAGGUUUGAACCCUUUAACUGAGACUCGCCUCUGCAGGCUAUCCAUGGACUUUUAAAUUAUAUGGAGUCUUGCUGUGUCACCCAGGCUGGAGUGCAGUGGUGCAAUCUCGGCUCACUACAACCCCGGCCUCCCAGGUUCAAGCAAUUCUGCCUCAGCCUCCUGAGUAGCUGGGACUACAGACACUGUUCUAGGUUUUUGAGACAUCUGUGGACAAAACAAAGUUCCUGCCCUCAAAGGAGCCCACAUUCUAACAGAGCAUAUUGACAUUUUUAAAAGGUAGAUGGGGUCUCACUAUGUUGUCCAGGCUGAUCUUGAACUCCUGGGCUGAAGCGAUCCUCCAACCUCGGCCUCUCAAAGUUCUGGGAUUAUAGAAAUCUUAUAUCUGAAGAAAUAAGAGAGGAUGAUGAGAAAAUGUUGGAUCAGGCCUACUUUAAAAAUGGAGUCUCGCUCUGUUGCUCAGGCUGGACUGCAGUGGAGCAAUCUCGGCUCACUGCGAGCUCCGCCUCCCGGGGUCACACCAUUCUCCUGCCUCAGCCUCCUGAGUAGCUGGGACUACAGGCGCCCGCCAUCACACCCGGCUAAUUUUUUUGUAUUUUUAGUAGAGACGGGGUUUCACCGUGUUAGCCAGGCUGGUCUCGAUCUCCUGACCUCGUGAUCUGCCCGCCUCGAACUCUCAAAGUGCUGGAAUUACAGGCUUGAGCCACCGCGCCAGGCCAAUCGUUUUAACUUUUAGCUCCACAAAUAAAUAAGAACAUGUG